rnacentral:rRNA from 1 species
AUUGAACGCUGGCGGCAGGCCUAACACAUGCAAGUCGAGCGAGCGGCGGACGGGUGAGUAAUGUAUGGGGACUGCCCGAUCGAGGGGGCUAACUUCUGGAAACGGUAGCUACUACCGCAUACUAUCGGAUAACCUAUAUGGGAUUAGUUAGUAGGUGAGGUAAUGGCCAACCUAGGCGACGAUCCCUAGCUGGUCUGAGAGGAUGAUCAGCCACACUGGGACUGAGACACGGCCCAGACUCCUACGGAGGCAGCAGUGGGGAAUAUUGCACAAUGGGCGCAAGCCUGAUGCAGCCAUGCCGCGUGUAUGAAGAAGGCCCUAGGGUUGUAAAGUACUUUCAGUCGGUAGGCGUUACCGACAGAAGAAGCACCGGCUAACUCCGUGCCAGCAGCCGCGGUAAUAC